rnacentral:tRNA from 1 species
GUUUCCUUAGUAUAAUCUAAAUACUAAUGACUUCCAAUCAUUUAACCCAAGUUUAAUUCUUGGAGAAAACA